AGACUUAUUGAUGUUACUGAGGGUAAACUGGCCUUCAGGCCAUCCCUGAUGAAACAGGCUUCUAGUGCGACCUGAUCUUUGCUUCUACAGCGCAGAGUGACAUCACUUCCUGCCACCACAGGAAUCUCCAGAAUAACCUGAGGAUCUGAAGAAGAAACGCACUCACCUGCAGAAACAGUCGGUCCAGACAGCAGCAGCACGGACACACCUGCAACAGGAAGACACAGAACCGACCCGGUUCCCUGUACACUCACCCUCGUCCUCCGUUCAGUCGGCUGGGCUCAUCCACCGACCCUCUCCACCUCGGACUUCCCUUAUGGCGUCCUCCCUGUUCCCCCGCC